rnacentral:rRNA from 1 species
AUUGAACGCUGGCGGCAUGCCUUACACAUGCAAGUCGAACGGCAACGCGGGAGCAAUCCUGGCGGCGAGUGGCGAACGGGUGAGUAAUAUAUCGGAACGUGCCCAGUAGUGGGGGAUAGCCCGGCGAAAGCCGGAUUAAUACCGCAUACGACCUGAGGGUGAAAGGGGGGGAUCGCAAGACCUCUCGCUAUUGGAGCGGCCGAUAUCAGAUUAGGUAGUUGGUGGGGUAAAGGCCUACCAAGCCUGCGAUCUGUAGUUGGUCUGAGAGGACGACCAGCCACACUGGGACUGAGACACGGCCCAGACUCCUACGGGAGGCAGCAGUGGGGAAUUUUGGACAAUGGGCGCAAGCCUGAUCCAGCAAUGCCGCGUGCAGGAAGAAGGCCUUCGGGUUGUAAACUGCUUUUGUCAGGGAAGAAAUCCUCUAGGCUAAUACCUUGGGGGGAUGACGGUACCUGAAGAAUAAGCACCGGCUAACUACGUGCCAGCAGCCGCGGUAACAC